CUGCCUGCAUGCUGUCAUGCUUCCUGCUAUGAUGAAACUGGCUUGAUAGAACUCUAGUCAUUAUUGACCAAUAAAAUUAUCAACUAUGACAUAGUUUCUAAGACUCAGUACCACCAUGUGCCAUUCUCACAGGAGUAACUGCAGGAACUCCUAACUGGUCAAAGUCUUCGGAACAUGUGACUGAGUACUCAGCCAUGAACGGCUCAGCCAUUCCAACUUUCAGGAACUAUCACAGAAGAGAGGAAAAAAUCAAGAUCUGGGGUCCCAGGGAUUAAUCUCAGGUCAUCAAGACACGUGGCAGGUGGCCCCACCCACCGAAUCAUCUUGUGGGCACAUAUCAUGGCUGCACUCUUAAGCUCAACAGCAAUGUGAGUACGUGCACAAUACUUCCAAAAGAUUGGGCUUGUCAACAUUUCUUCACAGAUCAAAGAGGAGUACAUGAAUUACCUGAGGAUCUAUAAGCAGUUAAUGCCUCUGGAAAGGGAGAGAUAUUUUCUUCAAUGAUAUAGCCACUGGUAAGGUGUCUAUGACCCUGUAAACAACCUCCCCCAACCCCAAUAACACUUAGAAAUGGCUAUCUCUAGUUAGAAUUUUCUCUCUUUAGUCUGCCUAGAAGAGGAAUCACAAACACUAUUUCUUUGAUUUCCCCCAAAGAAGUGCACUUUUAAUUUUAUUCCAUCCAGUAAUUGGUGUAAUGUACUGUUCAUUCUUAUUACAAACUCAAAGAAUCAAGAAACCAAUCUUUUGAUUUCCUCAUGGCUUUACUUCAGCCACAAAGUAGGAUCUUUGUCUGGCCUCCCCCUGUGCAGGCACGCCCUCCAGAAAGAUACUAUUUAGCUGUCUGUGAGAGACAGGGCUCUUGCUGCUUUGUCCACAUGAACCUCAAGAAAAUAACUCUCUCGCACUAAAGGUCAAGAAAUUAUAAUGUCUCUCUGCCUGUGGCUGCAAUCAAAGCAUGUAGCCAGCUGGCAUCCUUGAAGGUCUGAAGCAUCUCUCUGUAGAUGAACUCUAUCUGCAGGUAAGUCUCAAAGUGAAGCAGUGUUUUGAAUGGAAAUCAUGAGAUUUUUAUCUCUGGUCCCAAGCCAUGCUCACCUGUAAAGAUAGAGGAAUGCAGUGAAUUAGGGUUCUUCAUAACCCUCCAGGCAGUUUCUAGGGAACGAACAUUUUAGUAAAGUAAGAAGCUUUAUCUCCAAGGAACUUAGAGUUGCAUGGGGUUUCCAAAUGCUCUGCAUCUAUAAUAAUGUCUGCGACAUUACUAAGCUGUCAGGUUACAGUUUUUAUUCAGUUCUCUCCCCACCUCCAACUCCCAUUUGUAGGCUGUGUCAUGCAAACAUAGGAUCUUGGUCUGUCCUGUGGUCUCAGAAGCCAGCAAACCCAUAGGUGCUAGUAUGUGUUCUUAUACUCACGAGAAGCAAUGCACACAGAUGUUUACUCAUUUUGACUUCUGAACAGGACCUCAUUUUGGAAAUCAACAUCUAUAAUUUGUUUUGAGUCUGUAAGCUGAUUUCUAGCCCAGAAUGUUCUGUUCUCAGGUUCCUGGGUUCUUUUUCACAAGCUUCUAAAAAUAACAAAAAAAAAAUAAUAAUGUUUUCUUUCUUACUUGCUAUUUUUACUUUCUGGGUGGGGUGUGGAGGCCCUUCCUGUAUCUGAUUAAAACAGAACUUUCCAGAUUAGCCUCUCCUAUAAAUGUACUUCGCUUCCUACCACACUUGACUGAGAGUGAGAAGAGACGGGUUCAAGCAGGCUAAAUGAAUUGUAAAAUCCACAAAAGUGUGACACAUUAGGGUCUUGUUCAAAUAUAGAUUCCUGUUUAGGGUGUGAAGUUGUGAUUUCACAUUACUAACACUCUCCCAAAAGUUUUUAUGUGUCUGACAUAAAGAUCAUCCUUUGAGUAAGAGGGAAGAGGAUGGUUUGCUUCACAAAUAUUCAACACUUUUUAAUUAUAAUACACGCCAAGCACUGGCUUGUGAAACUAAUUGGGAAUGUAAGAUUAUUUAUCCUUAAAAGGGCCACAGUUGGAAAUGGAGAGAUGCCUCAAGUGCUAAAAGUACUGGAUCUUCUUCCAGAGGAGCCAGAUUUGAUUCCUAGCACCCACAUAACAGCUAACAACUGUCUGUAACUCCAGUUCUAGACAAUCUGUUGCCCUCUUCUGGAUUUCUUAAGCAUGAGGUAGCAGAUGGUGCAUAUGCAUACAUACAGGCAAGACAUAUAAAAUAUUUUUUUAAAGUCCUCAGUCUAAUGUAGCACCCAACAUAACAAGUAAAUUCUGUGAUCAUCAUAAGAAGAUGAGUUGUAGAUUAAGAUGAGAAAUGUGAACGUAUACCUCACCAAAGAAGAUACAGCGAAGGCAAAUAAGCCUCUAAAAGAUAUGGAGGAUCACAUAUAAUGAUGGAAUUUAAAGUGUAAACAGCCCUGAGGCAUUAUCACUAAACAUUAGCAUGAUGAUAUUCCAAACUAUGACAUCACAUGCUGGCUAGGAAGUUGGUGGGAAUACAAAAUGGUACAGCCAUCAUGGUGGUCAUUACAAAAGUAAACACAUGUCCAGGGCAGCAGUCAUCUCCCUGGGCUUUUAUCCAAAUAAGAUGAGAGUUCACUCCUACACAAAGACUUACACACAAAUGUUUACAGCACUUCCUACUUACCAAAACUUGGAAGCAACUGAGAAUUCCUUCAGAAGGAAAGUGAAUAAACUAUAAGAUGCCCCAGCAAUGAAAUGUUAUUCAUCCCUGAGAAGAAAUAAACUAUUAAGCUAUGGAAAAACAUGAAGGAACAUGUUACUGCUUCAAAGAAGCCAGUAUGAAAAGGAUACACAAGAUACAACUCCAACUAUUCUGGAAAAGGUAAAGCGAUAGAUGCAAUACAUGGAUGACACACGCUCCAGGAGUUAAGCGAACAAAAAGGUUGAAGAUGUGGCCCAUGAGACAAUGUACAGGAGGAGAAAUAGUGGGGUUGUUCUUCAUGUUGCCCUAGCAAUGUGUACAAGUGAUGUUACAAGUGAAAAAUCACAAAAAUGACAGCACCAAGAAUAUAUACCCUAAGACAAACUAGAGACAAAGAUUGGAAAUGACAUCUCAGCUUUGGUUCUCAUUCAAUUAAUAUUUUCCUGUCCUGUAGGUUGUUGGGGACUGCGGGGAGGGCAUGCAGCUGAGAAUAUUGCAAAAAAGUGGAUAUGGAAAAUGUUUAUGUUUUCUUUUUAACAUUUUUCUGCUAAAAAUUAAUAUUUAAUUAUUUUAACAUUUAUAUAUUUUUAA